rnacentral:misc_RNA from 1 species
AGCAGCCGCGGUAAUUCCAGCUCCAAUAGCGUAUAUUAAAGUUGUUGCAGUUAAAAGCUCGUAGUUGAAUUUCGGGAUCAAUAUUUCGGUCAUGCCGUUGGUAUGCACUGUUAUCAUUGAUUUCUCACCUUCUAAAGAACCGUAAUGCCAUUAAUUUGGUGUUACGGGGAAUUAGGACUGUUACCUUGAAAAAUUGAGUGUUUAAAGCAGGCUCACGCUUGAAUACAUUAGCAUGGAAUAAUGAAAUAGGACAUCCGAUUCUAUUUUGUUGGUUUCUAGGA